CAGUAGCCGCGGUAAUACGAAGGGGGCUGGCGUUGUUCGGAAUUACUGGGCGUAAAGGGCGCGUAGGCGGCCAUUCAAGUUAGAUGUGAAAGCCCUGGGCUCAACCUAGGAAUUGCAUUUGAUACUGUUUGGCUUGAGUUCGGGAGAGGUGAGUGGAAUUCCCAGUGUAGAGGUGAAAUUCGUAGAUAUUGGGAAGAACACCAGUGGCGAAGGCGGCUCACUGGACCGACACUGACGCUGAGGCGCGAAAGCGUGGGGAGCAAACAGGAUUAGAUACCCCUGUAGUCCCUGUCUCUUAUAC
rnacentral:rRNA from 1 species